UUUUACUGCUAGGAUCAAACUGUUGAAUAUUUAUAAUGACGAUGGACAAUCAAAAAAGUUCAGCAUUAAAGGAUGAACUGUUAUGAACGAGAAGACGUGAAGUUGCAUUUAAUUAUUAUUAUUAUUACUAUUACUAUUAUUAUUAUUAUUAUUAUUAUUAUUAUUAUUAUUAUUAUUAUUAUUAUUAAUAUUAUUUUUAAUAAUUAGUUUUAGGUAGAUAUCGAUAAUUUUUCUUUUUCGUAUGCGAUAAUAUUUCCUUAUCAGUAAUAAUUAUAAGUAUGUGUGAUUUAUCGCAUUUAAUUAGCUAAUGAUGUUAUAAACGAUAUAUUACAGGAAGAACGAUAAAGAAAAUGAAUGCGUGUAAAUAUGAUAUUUUUAAAAUGAUUAUCAAGGACUUCUUAUACGUUACGAUGCGUCCUAAUUAAUUUAUUUUUUAUAUCCGUCACGUUGAACGGUACAAUAUUUUUCCUUUUUUUUUUUCGAACAUUUUAUUCGCAGUAUGUAGAUAUAUUUGUAUAUUUUAUUUUUUUUUUUACGAACGUUAUAUUUAUCCGAUAAUAAUAAUAUUUAAAAAAAAAAAACAAAAACAAAAAAAAAACAAAAAGAACUCGACUUAGAUUCGAUUCCACGUAAACACUUUAAAUGUUUUUAUUUACAUGAGAAAAAAAGAAAUUUACUUCGACCCAAAGAGAACGUGCACGACGAUCAUAGCUAUGAAUUCCUCCGUUCAUGUUGGCUUCUAACACUCCACGCACCGGUCAUAAAAGAGGAAAUUUUUCGCGAUUUAAAAAAAAAAAAAAAAACACAAAAAAAGAAAAAAGAGAAAAAAGGAAGGAGAAAAGUCGAAAGAAAAAUAAUAAUUCAACUGAAGUAAGGAAAAGAGGACAAAAGAAGAAAAGAAAAAAUAACGUGAAGAGUGAGCGAACAAAGCAAAGAGUAAUUUCGUGCUAAUAUAGACAUCAUUAUAUUUUUCCUGAUUACAAUAAUCUAUGUACAGAAAUAAUGACUAUUUCAUAGAUAAAAAAUUGAUUGAAAAAAAAUGUAUAUAUAUAUAUAUAUAUAUAAAAUUAAUUUAAUACAAUGCACUAUCAAGCAUUGUCCAAAUUGAUUAUAGUAAUGUUCAAAAUUUAAAGAACAUUAACGCAAUGAUAGUUAAGAGGAUAGAUAAAGAUAGUAUGAAAGUAUUUAAGAAAUUUAAAGAAAUGAAAAAUUUAUUAUAGAACGCCAAAGAAUUUGUAUAAUUGUUAAAAUUAAAAAUAAAACUGUAAGUGAUAUUUUUACAAGAGAGACACACACAUAUAUAUAUAUAUCCAAUAUCAAUCGAUUCCAUUCCGAUCCAUCACAUCUUGGAUCACUUUGUAAGCCAAAAUCGCUGCAACGAAAUUUCUAUAAAUUAUAAAGAGAAAGAGAUAGAGAACGUAUGUACAUACAUACGUAAAACCAAGUUCGAUAUUAAAGACAUGGCUAAUAUAGGCGACAUAGUGAAAUCGUAUAACUUUAUACGUAAUAACGAUCAUAUUUCGCAGCUACGUAAAACGAACGAAACGUCGUGUACAGGAAUGAAAAGAUGGAAUGAGAAGAUGGAAGAUGUGGUAUAUCGUUCAGUUUUAUUAUUGAACCAAUAAAACCUUAGUAAACGAGUAAUAAUUUCAAAGUUGAGCGCCAUUCAGUUUCAAAAGCACCUUCGGCGACUCUGAGAAAAGCUUCUCACACGAAACAUCUAAUUCAACGUCGCCAUCGUGCCAAUAAGUUUGAGACUACCAAAAUCCUUUUUGAAUAUGAAUUGGAUUUAUAGUUACAGAUAUAGAUUUGGAAUAUUUUUAAAAUUCGACUAUACUUGUCUCAUUGAAAAAUUAUGUGAAUUAAUAUUUCACAAUUGCAAUCUGAGCAUUGCAUGAAUAUUUUUUCGUGAAUAUAUUUUCUUUUUUCUUUUUUUCUUCUUUUGUAAUUGGAUUUUUUUAAAUCUAUUGAUUAUUAUUCCCGAGGCUUGAAAGAAUAUAUAGUAUUUUUUUUUUUUUUUUUUGGAGUCAAAUUUAUUCAUUCUAUAAAUGAGAGCCGUUCAAAGUGCCUGUAUGGUAUAUCGCAACUCAAAGUGGACAACUUGAAAUUAUUUUGAGAUGUGCACACACAGCUAGGAUUAAAUUCGAUUUUAAAUUUGAUGUAAUCGAAAUGAUCGUAUAAACUAUAUUAAAUGUAAAUCGUGUUGUUCUCUAUGAUAUGAAAUGUAAUAGAUACAAGAAAAUGGUUAGCUAACCAAUGACAGUGGCAUAUCCAUGAAAGACCGAACGAAUUCACCAACGGAUAUUCGAUCGGACAUUGACGCUAACGAGAUUUUCUCUCGUCGACUUCGAGAGAAAAAAAAAGGAAGAAGAAGAAGAAGAAAAUAGUAGAAAAAAAAGAAGGACAAAAGAAAAGAAAAGAUCAAAAAUGUAUGAAAAUGAUCAAUUGAUGAUGGUAUGACAAUACGUUUGUCCAAGAUACGAGAGAUAUGUGCUCGAAUUUAAUGGACGAAACGUUGCCAUUUCUUCGUACACGUAGAACUCUUGAUAGAAACUGGACGAUAAGACGUUGGGACAGCUUAAAAUCGAGAACGCGAGACGAAAUAAGAACGAUUUUUACGACGGCAUUUCUACGAUGGGAAAAUCGUUCGGGCAGACGUUGAAGAGUAGUGCGGCGGACAUUGGAGAAAACGAAAUCGACGUGCCGAUGCUUUCCCAACCGACGACGUCGAGACGGCUUCACCGGGAACUACCUUACAUAGAUACUGAUUUAUCCUUGACGUGAUUAACGUGAAUAAACGUUUCUAACUUUGCUUCUAAUCGCUCUCCAUCAGUUAUCAAUCUGUUUUGUCAAAUAUAUACAUAUAUAUAUAUAUAUAUAUAUAUAUAUAUAUAUAUAUAUAUAUAUAGUGUUAAUGUUAUAACAAAUCACACAGCAUUCUACAUAGCCAUCCCUCUUUCCCCUUGGUAAGCGUAUUAACGUAAGGAGCUUAUUCCAUCGCUGAUCAACUCCGACGACUCUGUACGUCACGAUCAAUUCGAAGGGCUUGUUAACGAUUUCAAAUGCACGAUAAACGUUUAUCCGAAGAUAAAAGGAAGGAAGGAAGGAAGGGGAGGGGAGAAUAUACGCAAAUGUCUGAAAUGAUAGAGAAUUAGUAACAAGAAAGAGACAGACAGACAGAAUGAUGAGGAGAGAGAGAGAAAGGAUAUGUAUACAUAAAAAAAAAAAAAAAAAAAAAAAAAUAAAUAAAAAUGAAGAAAAAGAAAUGAAGAAAAAUAGAAGAUAAAUUAUGAAGAAUUUCUAUUGGAAUCAAAUUCAACGUUAUUUCCGGCUAACUUCUGUUUAACGAAGAAAGGAUAGGAGAGAAAGUAAAAUACAAAGAGAGAGAAAGAGAGACGGAGAGAGAGAGAGAGUUUUCAUUAGAGAACAUGAAAGGCUACCAUUUUAAGAGCAAACGAAUGAGAAUAAUUAACAAUGAGAUGAGAAGAUACUCCAAAGAAAUAUUCUCUACUUCUCUUACUAUUUUCCUUUUUUUUUCUCUUUCUUUUUCUUUUCUUUUUUUCUUUUGUUUUAUCUUUUCUUUCUUUUUCUCCUUUCUUUUUUCCUCUCUACGAAAAAAAAAGUUUCGCAAAUUAGUGCACCCUAAGUUUAUAAUGAACUGUACUCUUUUCAAUACUUUUUCAGAUCUUUAUUAAUCAUUUAAGAAAAAAGAAAAAAAAAAAAAAGAAAAAAGAAAAAACUAAUAAGCAAAAAGUCAAUCGACAAAGUGUAUAUCAAUUUGGAAUAAAUCGAAGAACAUCGAUCGAAAGGAAAAUUCUAGUAAUUCUGCUUUUAUCUGUUAUGAAAAGGAUUUGUUAUUAGACGUAAGAACGAAAGUAUAAUAAUAAUGAAAAGAAAAAAAUAAGAGAAGAAUAAAUCCAGAGUCCAUUUCCGAUAAGGGUCCUUCUGCAUUUCUUCAACAUUGUACGUUCACGUUACUCUUACUCUACGAAACUAUCCAUCGUUUUUGACAACAUAUGUGAAUCUCUAUAUUUCUCGCUCUCUCUCUCUCUCUCUCUCUCUGUCUCUCUUUUAUAUUCUCUUGAAGAACGAGAUAUACAGAUGCCGUCUCAACUCAACCUAUCGUUUCAAAUAUAGAUUUCCAAUGCACCAAGAUAUUUUCAAUAUCGUUGUCGCGUCUCGAUACCCUUUCCAAUGAACUUGUCCAUCGUACUCUUAUUCCCACUCUUUAUCUCUCUCUCUCUCUCUCUCUCUCUCUCUCUUUCUUCCAAACUGUAUAAAAAUGUUACAUUCGAUUGUCAAAAAUACAUAUCGAUGUGUCCACUUAUAUUUUCAUCGUCAUUACUCUCUCGUCCACUAAUAUAUAUAUAUAUCAUCAAAUAGAUACAAAUAAAAAUAAUUUAUGAGCGUCAAUUGAAAUCAAUCUUAUUGGAAAAUUUGCGAACUUUAAUAAAGAGAAAAAAGAGGGGAAAAAUAAUAUAAAGAAUGAAAGAAAAUGAAUCGAAAUUUAUGAACUUACGAUGCUAUAAUCACGACGAGAUAUAAUAAAAUAAAAUAAAAAAAAAAAAAAAAAAAAAAAAAAAGAAAGCAGUUCUCCUUUAGAUCUCAUUCGAAAACUAUAAAGAGAAUGAGAAGAGAAAUGGAAGAAAAAUUCUUAGAGGACUAUAACAAACGAGGGAACCGACUCAAUCAGAAGAUCGCAAAGGAGAUCGAAUUCGGGUAGAAGGAUAGAGACAAAAAGAUAGAGAUAGAAAUAGAGAACAUCGAAGUAGAAGAUAGAAUUAACGUUUCUCCUACGGCUGCAACUGUGACUGACUGUGUGGAAAACGAGCGUUCAAAGUGAACUACAGAUUAGAAAGUGGAAGAAGGAAGGAAGAAUGAAACAGGUAAAAGGGAAGAGAAGGAUAGUAACAUAAAGAACGAAAAAGGUAUAUAGUUCGUCUCGUACUAUCUCUCUCUCUCUCUCUCUCUCUCUCUCUCUCUCUCUCUCUCUCUUUCUGUCUCUCAUGCUCUUCUCUAUUUUUCUCACUUUUCGAGUGCUUUACGACGUCUCUUGGAUAAGUACGUGCCGUCCCAUCUUCCUCGAGUUCUAAGAAAGAAAAGGAAGAAAGGAAGAAAAAAAAGAAAGAAAAAAAAAAGGAGAAAAAGGAACGAAAAAAGAAAGGGGAAAAAAAAUAGAAAGGAUAUAUCGUAAAUAGAGGAAAAGAACGAACUGAGGUUAGGUUAUGGAAGAGGUUUGGUGUCCUCGACCGGUUCGUCGGUUCAAUCAACCGUACGCCGAGCAACAAACCACCGCCGUUAAUUGGAUCCGUGCCCGUGCUUCCCGGCUUUACGAGGGCCAAUCGUGCCGAAUUAUCCGACCUGCAUUUCCGGAUCUCCUGUAGCAGCAUCAACGCCGGUAGAAGUACUCUAUCCCCCUUCUAUCUUACCCAGAACUUCCUUUUCCUUUUCUCUUCUCUUCUCUUCUCUUCUCUUCUCUUCUCUUCUCUUCUCUCCUCUCUCGAACACUCGAAAGUUAAAGUGCCAAUCGGAGCCAACUUCUUCGAGGAGGCUCGAGAGCUUAAUGCGUCUUUAAGUCGAUGCACAGACUGGAUAAGUCCGAUACUCGAGUAUCUUACUUCGGAUACUUUAAAUUCAAGAAAGAUCAAGUGGGAUGCUGCGUUUCUAGCUUCGAUCGAGAUAUCGGUUCAUUUCCUAUGCAUCGAUUCCUUUAUUAUCUAUCUAUCUCUACGUACACCUUAGAAAUCAUCUAUGAUGUUUCUUCUUUCUUUUCUUUUCUUUUCUUUUCUUUUUUUUUUCUCUUUUUAUCAUUAAACGAAUUGAUUCUCUUUCCUUUCAAAUUCUUUUCCCACCAAAAUCUUUUUACAUUUCGUUUCAUUCUAUCUUCAUAUAGAAUUUAAUUGAGGGUAUUUGAGUUAAGCCCUACCCACUCCUUUACUUCCACCCUCCUUACUCCCGACUGGCGGCCAUUCGAUUUACGAUUCUCAUUUUCGCAAAAGGUAUGGAGAAGGUAUUCUAUCUUUACGAGCAAACAUAUGGGAUACUAUCAUAAGAAACCAUCCUCGAGGCAUGAUAUAAACGUGAAAUGUAAAACAUAUAUGCAAUGGUGAAAAGCGCGUGCAUGGUUACUACGCAAUAACAUUAUUCUAGGGAACACUUAAGUUCGCAAUAAUGGAAGAGCUGUGUGUCUAUGACGAUAUUAUAGUAGCCACAAUAAAGACCAAAAUCAUUUCUAACAUAUUCUAAAGUAAAUGUUUUACAUAAGAAA